rnacentral:rRNA from 1 species
UACGCAGGGGGCAAGCGUUGUCCGGAAUCAUUGGGCGUAAAGAGCGUGUAGGCGGUCCGGUAAGUCGGCUGUGAAAGUCCAAGGCUCAACCUUGGGAUGCCGGUCGAUACUGCCGGACUAGAGUUCGGAAGAGGCGAGUGGAAUUCCCGGUGUAGCGGUGAAAUGCGCAGAUAUCGGGAGGAACACCUAUGGCGAAGGCAGCUCGCUGGGACGUUACUGACGCUGAGACGCGAAAGCGUGGGGAGCAAACAGG